UACGUAGGGUGCGAGCGUUGUCCGGAAUUAUUGGGCGUAAAGGGCUCGUAGGCGGUUUGUCGCGUCGGGAGUGAAAACACACAGCUUAACUGUGUGCUUGCUUCCGAUACGGGCAGACUAGAGGUAUGCAGGGGAGAACGGAAUUCCUGGUGUAGCGGUGAAAUGCGUAGAUAUCUGGAGGAACACCGGUGGCGAAGGCGGCAUCCUGGACCGAGAUUGACGCUGAUGCGCGAAAGCCAGGGGAGCAAACGGG
rnacentral:rRNA from 1 species